rnacentral:lncRNA from 1 species
AUUCUUGAAUUUUACUUUACAAAGAAGUAUCAUGUUGACAAUUUGGACGUUAUUAGUUCCUGAAUAAAUUAAUUCUUGAACUUGUUUUAUUGAAUUCUUAUAUCAUUGUCAUCAUCCUCAUGUUUAUAUUUUUUUGAAAGUCAUUUGUGGCCUGUAGUGCAUAGAUGGACUUGGUAUGAUUAUGAUCAGGGAUUAUUCGGUG